AUUUCUGUGAUGCCCUUAGAUGUUCUGGGCUGCACGCGCGCCACAAUGGGCGGAUCAGCGUGUGCCUACCCUGCGCCGAGAGGUGCGGGUAACCCGCUGAACCCCGCUCGUGAUCGGGACUGGGGAUUGAAACUGUUUCCCAUCAACGAGGGAUUCCCAGUAAGCGCGGGUCAUAAGCUCGCGUUGAUUAAGUCCCUGCCCUUUGUACACACCGCAAU
rnacentral:rRNA from 1 species